rnacentral:rRNA from 1 species
UUAACACAUGCAAGUCGAACGAUGAACCACUUCGGUGGGGAUUAGUGGCGAACGGGUGAGUAACACGUGGGUAAUCUGCCCUUCACUCUGGGACAAGCCCUGGAAACGGGGUCUAAUACCGGAUAUCACUGCCAUGGGCAUCUGUGGUGGUUGAAAGCUCCGGCGGUGAAGGAUGAGCCCGCGGCCUAUCAGCUUGUUGGUGAGGUAACGGCUCACCAAGGCGACGACGGGUAGCCGGCCUGAGAGGGCGACCGGCCACACUGGGACUGAGACACGGCCCAGACUCCUACGGGAGGCAGCAGUGGGGAAUAUUGCACAAUGGGCGCAAGCCUGAUGCAGCGACGCCGCGUGAGGGAUGACGGCCUUCGGGUUGUAAACCUCUUUCAGCAGGGAAGAAGCGAAAGUGACGGUACCUGCAGAAGAAGCGCCGGCUAACUACGUGCCAGCAGCCGCGGUAAUACGUAGGGCGCAAGCGUUGUCCGGAAUUAUUGGGCGUAAAGAGCUCGUAGGCGGCUUGUCACGUCGGGUGUGAAAGCCCGGGGCUUAACCCCGGGUCUGCAUUCGAUACGGGCAGGCUAGAGUGUGGUAGGGGAGAUCGGAAUUCCUGGUGUAGCGGUGAAAUGCGCAGAUAUCAGGAGGAACACCGGUGGCGAAAGCGGAUCUCUGGGCCAUUACUGACGCUGAAGAGCGAAAGCGU